UACGAAGGGGGCUAGCGUUGCUCGGAAUCACUGGGCGUAAAGGGUGCGUAGGCGGGUCUUUAAGUCAGGGGUGAAAUCCUGGAGCUCAACUCCAGAACUGCCUUUGAUACUGAAGAUCUUGAGUUCGGGAGAGGUGAGUGGGAACUGCGAGUGUAGAGGUGAAAUUCGUAGAUAUUCGCAAGAACACCAGUGGCGAAGGCGGCUCACUGGCCCGAUACUGACGCUGAGGCACGAAAGCGUGGGGAGCAAACAGG
rnacentral:rRNA from 1 species